AGAGUUUGAUCAUGGCUCAGAAUCAACGCUGGCGGCGUGCCUCAGACAUGCAAGUCGAACGCGAAAGUCCCCUUCGGGGGGCAAGUAGAGUGGCGCACGGGUGAGUAACACGUAGGUAAUCUACCUUUGGAUUGGGAAUAACCACCGGAAACGGUGGCUAAUACCGAAUAAUGCAGCGGCACCUAAUGGUGACAGUUGUUAAAGCGGGGGAUCGCAAGACCUCGCGUCUGAAGAGGAGCCUGCGGCAGAUUAGCUAGUUGGUAAGGUAACGGCUUACCAAGGCGAUGAUCUGUAGCCGGCCUGAGAGGGCGGUCGGCCACACUGACACUGACAUACGGGUCAGACUCCUACGGGAGGCAGCAGUCGGGAAUUUUGGGCAAUGGGCGAAAGCCUGACCCAGCAACGCCGCGUGAAGGAUGAAAUCCUUCGGGAUGUAAACUUCGCAAGAACGGGAAGAAUAAGUAAGAGUUAAUAUCUCUUACGAUGACGGUACUGUUUGUAAGCUCCGGCUAACUCCGUGCCAGCAGCCGCGGUAAUUC
rnacentral:rRNA from 1 species